rnacentral:rRNA from 1 species
GAGUUUGAUCAUGGCUCAGGAUGAACGCUGGCGGUAUGCUUAACACAUGCAAGUCGAACGAAAGCUUUAUGCUUUAGUGGCGAACGGGUGCGUAAUACGUGAGAAUCUGCCCUUAGGAGGAGAAUAACUUCUGGAAACGGUUGCUAAGUCUCCAUAUGCCGAGAGGUAAAAUAGUUUACACUGCCUAGGGAUGAGCUCACGCCUGAUUAACUUGUUGGUAAGGUAAUGGCUUACCAAGGCCACGAUCAGUAGCUGGUUUGAGAGAACGAUCAGCCACACUGGGACUGAGACACGGCCCAGACUCCUACGGGAGGCAGCAGUGAGGAAUUUUCCGCAAUGGGCGCAAGCCUGACGGAGCAAUACCGCGUGAGGGAUGACGGCCUUUGGGUUGUAAACCUCUUUUUUCAAGGAGGAAGUUCUGACGUGUACUUGAAGAAUAAGCAUCGGCUAACUCCGUGCCAGCAGCCGCGGUAAGACGGAGGAUGCAAGUGUCAUCCGGAAUUAUUGGGCGUAAAGCGUCUGUAGGUUGCCUAACAAGUCUGUUGUUAAAGGUUAAAGCUUAACUUUAAAACUGCAGCAGAAACUGCUAGGCUUGAGUACAGUCGAAGUAGAGGGAAUUUCCAGUGAAGCGGUGAAAUGCGUAGAUAUUGGAAGGAACACCAAUGGCGAAAGCACUCUACUAGACUUUUACUGACACUCAGAGACGAAAGCUAGGGUAGCAAAUGGGAUUAGAUACCCCAGUAGUCCUAGCCGUAAACGAUGGAUACUAAACAUUGCGUGCAUCGAUCCGCGUGGUAUUAUAGCUAACGCGUUAAGUAUCCCGCCUGGGGAGUAUGCUCGCAAGGGUGAAACUCAAAGAAAUUGACGGGGGCCUGCACUAGCGGUGGAGUAUGUGGCUUAAUUCGAUGCAACGCGAAGAACCUUACCUGGCCUUGACAUGUAGUGGACUGGGUGCGAAAUCACCCUUUUCUUCGGAACUGCUACACAGGUGCUGCAUGGCUGUCGUCAGCUCGUGUCGUGAGAUGUUGGGUUAAGUCCCGCAACGAGCGCAACCCCCGUGUCCUGUUGCCACCCGGAAGAGAAUCCGGAGCACUCUGGACAGACUGCCUGGUUUCAACCAGGAGGAAGGUGGGGAUGACGUCAAGUCAGUAUGGCCCUUACGGCCAGGGCUGCACACGUACUACAAUGCCUAGUACAAUGGGACGCAAGACCGCGAGGUGGAGCAAAUCCCCAAAACUAGGCUCAGUUCAGAUUGUAGGCUGCAACUCGCCUACAUGAAGGAGGAAUCGCUAGUAAUGCCGUAUCAGCUACGACGGCGUGAAUACGUUCCCAGGCCUUGUACACACCGCCCGUCACAUCAUGAAAGUUGAUUGUACCCGAAGUCGCUGAGUUAACCGUAAGGAGACAAGUGCCGAAGGUAUGGUUGGUAAUUGGGAUGAAGUCGUAACAAGGUAACC